CGCACAUUGCGCCCGCCAGUACUCUGGCGGGCAUGCCUGUCCGAGCGUCAUUUCAACCCUCGAGCCCCCGGGCUUGGUGUUGGGGAUCGGCCCGCCCUCGCGGCGCGCCGUCCCCCAAAUAUAGUGGCGGCCUCGCUGCAGCCUCCCCUGCGUAGUAGCUAACACCUCGCAACGGGAUCUCAGCGCGGCCACGCCGUUAAACCCCCCACUUCUGAAUGGUUGACCUCGGAUCAGGUAGGACUACCCGCUGAACUUAA
rnacentral:misc_RNA from 1 species